GCCAGGCUCACAGAGAGCAGGCUGGCAUGGCAGCCUGCUUGGGGAGGCUUGGGGAGCAGUGAGACGAGGCCAGCUGCAGAUGCAUUUCCUCCCCAUGCCAGGAAAGGUUUUAAUUCAAAAACAAAUGUAUUUAUCACUUCCAACCACUCCGCAGGGCAGGGCAUCCUGCCUCGGGUGGAGCGUCAGUGUGCAGUGGGAACAGUGGCAGGCGGCCAACGGAAACUUCACGUUUCACGAAGGUUUCUGCCACUUCGCAGUUGUUAUAAAGGCCAGCAUCACAUCAGUGGAGACAGUCCAGCCUCCCAGCCAGCCCUAAAGACACAGGCACCAGGAAAGGACCAGGCUCUCCAAGCCCCGGCCAGGCAACUUUGGCCCCAGUGGGCUGGAUGGUGGGAUGCAAUGAACCAUCCAACUUGGUGACUAAGGCUCUUUCUAACCAUGGAGUGUGGACAAAGGGAAAGUCUGUCAUCAGCAGACAAAGGACUGUGCGUGUCGGAGCAGACAAAGAAUUAAUAAAAGGGUCACUGAACCUGCUCUGAAUCUCAGAUGCAUCCUUCGUGAAGUGAAAAAAGAUUCCCCUGAGCUGCUAAGAGCAAGGAAACACAAUCCGGGCUGAGCUGGAAACUCUAGAUCUGCUACAACCUGGUUAAUUGCUACUGGGCAGAGAGGCAAAGAAUAGAUAAAAAUUUGCAGCUGUAAAAAAAAAAAAAGAAAUCUGAAAGGGAUAGAGCAGCUUAGUAAAAAGAAAGCUGGAAUCUGAAGCCACCUCCAUUCAUUCAUGGAACACCUAUGAGGCGCCUAUUCCCAUAGUGUCACAAGCACUGACUGUCGUAGGUCCAGGGAGACACAGGUCCCUCAAAGAGCUUACUCCUAGAGUAGCAGGUUUAUAUUUGUAAUUAUAAACAAAUAACUACAGUAAAAUGUGGCAAGUGGCAAGAAAGAGAAAGGCACAAA
rnacentral:lncRNA from 1 species